UACGAAGGGUGCAAACGUUGCUCGGAAUUAUUGGGCGUAAAGCGCACGUAGGCGGCUUUGUAAGUCGGAUGUGAAAUCCCUCGGCUCAACCAAGGAAGUGCAUCCGAAACUGCAGAGCUUGAGUACCAAAGAGGAUCGCGGAAUUCCCGGUGUAGAGGUGAAAUGCGUAGAUAUCGCUUGGAACGCCAACGGUGAAAACAGCUCGCUGGGGGUGUGCUGACGCUGAGACACGAAAGCCAGGGGAGCGAACGGG
rnacentral:rRNA from 1 species